GACGCAAUCAUUAUGCCCAUGUUAGUGUCCAAAUUAUUUGAACUUUGCCUUUUCUGAUUUAAUACACCUUUAUGACAAUCAUAUACAGUUUUGGUGAUUAGAAUUUAGCCCAUUAUUGUCUUGUUUUGUUGAUAUGAAAUUGCACCAUUGCAAGGAAGCGGGUCAAACUGUUGGGGGAAGAGCGGAGCUUGUCAUUUAUGUUGUCACCUUGUCUUGCAACAUCUAUUUCAAGUUUAAAAUUCUUUGCAAACCCCAUGACCGCGCAUCCUUAGCACUGUCGGUCCCCGUACACUGUAAAUCAGCACCAUCACAGCCACUAACAGCUUUCUGCUUUGCUUUCUGACAAAGGACUUAACAUCCGUGAGGCACACGUGUUCUCAACUACUGGUGGUUAUUCUUUGGAUGUAUUUGUGGUGGAUGGAUGGCCUGUUGAGGAUACAAAGGGAUUAUGUGAAGCUAUGGACAAAGCAAUUGCUAGAAAUGAGACUAAUAAGGAACACUGUUGGAAGUGGAUCAUUCCCACUGCAAUUGCGGAUACACUGUCAUAAGCAUGAAUUGUCUUAUUGAGAUUGUCUACAUCUCAAUCCAUGCAGUUUCCUUCAAUUUGCUGUGCUCUAGCAACAAUGAAUUGUACUCUCCUUCACAAGCUCUGGUCAGGACCCAUAUGGUGUGGAAGAAGGACAAGAAGAGAAUCACGAGAGUGAGGUGCACCUGCUAUUUCCCUUCCCACUGCAGGUAUCCAUAGUGUGUGUGUGUGUGUGUGUGUGUGUGUGUGUGUGUUGGGUGGGGGGAGCCAUCCUAACAAUAACUCUUUGGUCCUUGUGGAAAGUCAGAAAUGAAUGUAUAUUUAAGAAUGCAGCACCAGAAUUGUAUAUUUUACACUCCAAUUUUAUUUACUAAUUUUAGAAUUGAUUAUCAGGUUGAUAUUUUGUAUUACAUAUGUCGAAUGGAGGGAAUAUAUUUUGUAUUACAUAUUUUGUAUUACUAAAUUAUUGAGGUUGGAAUAUACUUGGGUUGUAUGGAAUUUGUAUUACAUAUGUGGAAUGGAAUGGAAUUGGAUGUCGAAUGGAAUUUUUGGC